rnacentral:tmRNA from 1 species
GGGGUCGAAAUAGGAUCGACGAACGUCUAAAGGGGUUAGCUUUGUCCCGGUGAGUUACCACCGUUAUCGGUACACAUCGUACAGUUGCAAAUGACAACCGUGCUCCGGCAAUGGCUCUCGCAGCGUAAGCUGUCCUGAGUCGCCGACUUUAAGCCCUAGCGCCUAGCCGCGUUAGGCGGGGUUCGCAGGCACCUGGCAACAGAAGCCUGCACU